UGAGGUGUGGCUCAGUGGCAGAGCACACUUGCCUAGCAUGUGUGGGACACUGGGUUUGAUUCCCAACACCACAG
rnacentral:tRNA from 1 species